GCUUGGCGCUGUGGCGCAUGCCUGUGAUCCCAGUGGCUUGGGAGGCUGAGACAGGAGAAUCACGAGUUCAAAGCCAGCUUUAGCAAUGGCAAACGCUAAGCAACUCAGUGAGACCCUGUCUCUA
rnacentral:sRNA from 1 species